AGUGAACGCUGGCGGCGUGCCUGACACAUGCAAGUCGCGCGAGAUUUUACGGGGCAUUGUAGGGUCUAGCGGCAGACGGGUGAGUAACACGUAGGGAACCUUCCUCAGAAUGGGGAAUAUCUCCGAGAAAUCGGAGUCAAUACCGCAUAAGACCACAGUUUGGCAUCAAACAGAGGUCAAAGCAGCAAUGCGUUUUGAGAUGGUCCUGCGGCCUAUCAGCUAGUUGGUUGGGUAAUGGCCUACCAAGGCUAUGACGGGUAUCCGGCCUGAAAGGGUGAACGGACACACUGGAACUGAGACACGGUCCAGACUCCUACGGGGGGCAGCAGUGGGGAAUUUUGGACAAUGGGGGAAACCCUGAUCCAGCGACGCCGCGUGGAGGAUGAAGGCCUUAAUGGUUGUAAACUCCUUUUAGAGGGGAAGAAAAAAAUGACGGUACCCUCAGAAAAAGCCACG
rnacentral:rRNA from 1 species